rnacentral:tRNA from 1 species
GUCGGCGUAGAGCAGCCCGGUAGCUCGCCAGCCUCACAAGCUGGAGGUCGCAGGUUCGAAUCCUGUCGCCGCAACCA